GAUUGCAAGAACAAACUGUGAAUUCAAGAAAACGUUAACAAUCUUAAAGAGACCAAGCUAUUGCUUAUCAUAUUUUUUUUUUUUCUUGCUGCCAUUAUAACAAAACUAGAUACUUCUUGGUUUACUGGAUUUUAAGUGUUAUGGGAAAACGCUAGGGAAGAGGCCUACAGUGUAGCUGGAAAAUUUUGCUGUAGGGAGUCAACGCAAAGAUGUGCCUUUCACUGUGUCCUUGGCAGAACUGAGCACAGGAUUCUUAUAGAGAGAAGAGUCCAGACAGAGCCACACUUCAGAGGUUGGAAUGAGCCUGUGAAAAAACAUGAUUUUUAGGCACAGAUUAGGCACCAUUCUCAUGGUACCUAAAAUCAGGAACCCCACCCGAAUUAGGAGCUAUAUGUGUGUCAAUGGAGGAUUCCAACCCAUAGGAUGCAACCAUAAAUUCAUCAAGCAUAAUCAAUAAUUUGGAAAUUCCUGUGUGAAAAACAGGUUAUUGUGGAUGUUCUGUGUUACUGCAGACUUGAAAGACUGAUAAAGUCCUUUUUCGGUCAGGAAAGCUAGGUGGACCAUGGCGUUAAGAUUCACACCAAAAUAAUAAUAAUAAAAAAAAAAAAAUAAAUAAGGAGGAAGAAGAAGAAGAAGAAGAAGAAGAAGAAGAAGAAGAAGAAGAAGAAGAAGAAGAAGAAGAAGAAGAAGAAGAAGAAGGAGAAGGAACCAAACACCAAACAAAAACCAAAGCCAAUCAAACAAAAAACCCAAACCGCACCAAAGAAACAAAAGCACUUGUCUUCAUUUUUCCAAUUUUGCUCUCAUUUCGCUAUUUUGGAAGGUAUAAAAUUUGGAAGAGGAAAUACCAUUUAAGAGCAGGCAAAUGAAAUUACAAUUAAUCUCAGCACAAGGAGUGUUAUGACAUGUGAAUACAUUUGACUAGUGACUUCAGUACUGAGUUGAGACUUACAAAUGUACAGAAAGACCUUUGGCUUUAGUGUCAGUGAAACAGAAAUAUUCAGGAUUGCUUACUGAGGAGCAUGAAAAAUAGAAAUUACUUGAAGAAUAAAGCUGUAUGAUGAUUUUCUCUAGAUUAGAGAAGUCCUCUAGGCUGCUAUUUUGCAAAACCAAGCAUGAUGUCCUACAAAAAAGUUUCAAAGUGCCUCAUAAUUACCUCCAGAAUGAAGCAUACAGUGAGCAUACCUUAAUUAAUUUUCAUCUGAAACAAAAAGUCUGCAAGUUGUUGUUAUUGAAAUAGAGAUGGGGGUCAUUGUAGACCCACUCUAAAUUGAUAUGAAAUUAUCUGUGAUUUCAGUUUUGAGGAUCAUAAUAGGAAAAUAAUAAUAAUAAUAGGGUUUGUCACCACCCAGCUCUCCAGCUCAGCAGGAAUUGUUAUUUCAGUAGGGAAAUGCCCGAAUCUCAUUGAUUGGGAUACCAUUAAACUCUGUUGUACUGAAACUCCCCACCGUAUGCAAAUUUUACAAUUAAGUUGUCUUUUAUUAACAUUUCCUCCUUUAAACUUCCUAUACGAUUCAGUCUAAUGCACAAAAGAGAUGGGCCUUAAAUUAAGUCCAUAGGCUUAGCACUUCUGAGGCAGAGCAGAGGCAAUUUUAGAGUGGCUUAUCCUUCAUAUCUGUUCAAUUAACCUCUCGGAGCUUUAGAACAGAAGUCAGCAUGAUGGCUGUCAUUUGAAUUGAACAAAUGCCAUCUCUCCAUCAAAGUAUUGACUCACAUCAGCCAUUCCAAGCCAAGAUCAGGACUUUAAAUGAGAUGGACAAACUGAGCUAAUUGUUGGUGUUUCAGAAACCUUCCCUCGCAGGCUGCGCGAAGCUUGACGUUUGACAAGCUCUGCUCGCCCGUCUGAAGCUGUAACUCUUAAAAUGGUCAAUUCUGUGUGUAAAAUCAGUAUUUUGACAUUUGUUGGGGAUGGAUCUUGAUGUGGGGGCUCCUCUGGUUGCCCAGAGAAGCUGUUGUUGUUGCCCCUGCAUCCCGGGAAGUGUCCAGGGCCAGGUUGGAUGCGAAGCAAAUAAAUUUUAUGUCUGUGGUGCACCAUUUCACCUCAAAACAAAUGGGGGCUUUUCAGCAAAAAUUGGGCACAACUCUUUGCAUUUUUUUCAAUGCCAGAAUCUCAUGUUUCUUACCUACUCCUUGGGGAUAGGAGGUGAUUGAACACAAACUUUUAGGGUCAUAUUUUUGCAAAAAAUCUGUGAUAAUCAGCAGUGAAUUUGGACUCACUGGAAAUCCAUGGUAAGGCUCACACUUAGUCCAAGGGGACCAGAAUUUCAGGUUUCCUGUUUUAUCCUUUAAGUGAUACGUCAUUUUAUGUGGUGUCUCAAAAAAUUGUUUUUUCUAGCAUCUAAGAUUCAUGAAAAUUCUCAUGAUUCCCUAAUUCUCAGGAACUUUUUAAUAAGUUUUUUUUAAUAUUGAGAGUCUUUUAGUUUUAUGAAAUUGGGCAACCAAGCUCAGGUGAAUGGAAUUAUCUGUAACUUUGGUUUCUCAUUAUCGGUGACCUGUAAUAUUAAAGUUCUUAUUUAAAAAAAAAGCUUUAAUUAAAAAUCUAUAAUUUACUAACUCAAGCAGAGAAUCCACAAGGUUGCCAUCACAGUUACUGUUGAAAAUGGUGUUUUGUGUAUACACCAACAGCCACAAGAAGAAUGUUGUGAAGGAGGUUUAAAAAAAGAAAAAGCGAAUAUCUGGAUUAGUGUAGAACUUAAGCUGUUUUAAAUCACUUUUAUUUCCACAGGUCCUUCCAAAAGGUCAGAGUUGAAUCUCAUGUAAAAAUGAAGGAAAAAAUAUUAAUUUUACUUUAAAACUCCAGAAAACUUGGAGUGCAUAUCCAGACCUGUUCUAUACAUCUUUCUAAUGGAAACUCAGCAAUGAAACACCAAGAAGUCUCAAAACUAAGGAAAAAAAAAUCCCAACACACUUUGAUGCAUCAUAGAAGGAGAUACUAUCCCAAAUAUUUGGGUUGUAGUCCUGUGAAAAACAGCAGCUUUUCCUGGGAAUUACAGACAGAGCUGUAGGUACUGCUGCUAAAUUUUAGAAAGGUGUUGAUUGGUUGUGUCUUGGCUUUGAUUUUCUUAAAAUUUCAGAUAAUUUUGACAUUGCAGUUGGUUACAGGUUUCACUGUAAUAUAACAAGUAAGAAACAUUUGUGAACAGUUUUCCAUAUCCAGACUCACAGAUUUUUAAUGUAGGACUGUUUUUUUAGUCCCACUUGGAGAACUCUUCUGCAGCUUCAAUAGGAUGACAAAAUUGAUGCAAAACAUAUGUAAUAACACAAACAGAUUUUUUAUUAUUAGCUUAUAAUUGGUAUUUUGACUCAAAAGCACAUUUGCAAUGAUUAUGCUUUGUAAAGAACCUUGGAGCAUCCAGAUAUUUUGAAAACUUAACAAAAAUAUUUUGUUUAUAAACCUUUAUCUCUUGAAAAGAAAUAAAAAUGAAUUCUGUUUUUUAACAGGAAAAGUGCUGAGAUUAAUUAAGAGUUAAUGUUAUAAGUAAUUCAGAAACUGACCUCAAAAUCAAUUUUCUUCACUUUCUAUUUCAUUAUUAUAUAGGAGUUUAAUUUGCACUCCUUCCAUUGGGAUGAAAAGUGAUAAUCUCCUUAAUUCCAUCUGAUUUUGAAAAUAUCAAGAGUUUGUGUAUGUAUUUUGAAAAAAGAUUUCUUCUUGUACAAAUAUUGGAGCUCAAACUGAUAAGGUUUGGUUACAAAUUUUUUGCAAUUGAUGCAAUUUUUUGCUAUUGAUGCAAUGGAUAGAAAAUAAUGGAUAAAAUGCAACAAUAUGUGACAGCACAGCACACAAUGCAUUGAGAACAGGCCAGGACCAGAAAUUCACUUUUGUUUCAAACUGUCAUUAAUUAAUCUGCUGGGCAAAUGAGGGGUCAUUUAUAAGCAGAGAGAUUAAUAAAUUUUGUGCCUUGUCUUUACUGAAAAAGCACAAAAAUCCCUGAAGAGAUUUCUUGUUAACACACAGUGUUCCACCUGUGUAAACAGGAAAAUAGAGCCCAAGAGUCUGACAUUCAAUUACAAAAAAACAAAUAAGGAGGUCCACACCCAGGGAGUGAGAAAUAAAUAAAUAAAUAUUUGAACAGUGAGAUCUUCCUUCAAAGUGAAAUACAAACCCCAGCAUUGGGAAUGGUUUGUUCACAGGAAUUAUAAUCCCUAAUAUUGUUGAUUUCCAGCCUGCUUAGAAUUAAGGGACACGUGCCAGGAGCAAGGAUCACUGUCUGGGUUUUGUCACAAGUCCCAGUGCUGGGUAAAUGUGCCCAGCAUGCUGAGAGCAGUGCAAACAGAUUUGUGGCUGCAAACUCUCUUUCCGUGCCAACUCAGCUUCCUUCAUACAUUCCUAAUAAUCAAAAUCAAUAUUCAUAAAAUCGCUGGAGCAAGCAAAUCGGGCCAGAUUUUAGUUUUAUCCAAUUAUUAGUUAAUAUGCCUUAUUUUUCAUU